rnacentral:rRNA from 1 species
GUGCCAGCCGCCGCGGUAAGACGAACCGUGCGAACGUUAUUCGGAAUCACUGGGCUUAAAGCGCGUGUAGGCGGAGCGGCACGUCGGUCGCUGAAAGCCCCCGGCUCAACCGGGGAACGGGCGCCGAUACGACCGCUCUCGAGGGACGUAGGGGGACCUGGAACUUCCGGUGGAGCGGUGAAAUGCGUUGAGAUCGGAAGGAACGCCCGUGGCGAAAGCGAGGUCCUGGACGUUUUCUGACGCUGAGACGCGAAAGCCAGGGGAGCGAACGGGAUUAGAAACCCGUGUAGUCC